GCCCCGGCCCCGCGUACCCCGCCGCUUUGUCUGCACCCGCCGCGACCCGGGGACCCGAGCCCGGACCCCGCGCCCGCGGCCCCGGGCCCGGAGGAAGGCGCCAAGGACCCCGCGGGGGCCUGCGCUCGGGCUGCUCGGCAUUUCAGUUCCGCAUUUCAGUCCCAGAAUGUGCGAGUCACACCCCACGCCCCAUCCAGCCGGGACCCCAGCCGGUUAAUCUGCGGCUCGGCCUCCCCGUCCCUCUUCUCCCCGCGCCUGCCCUCCCCCCCAACCUCCCGGGGGGCGAGAAAUUCUUUGAAAGAAUCGAGGAGGAGGUGCGCUCGCUCAGCCCGCUCCGAGUAGGGAGCAUCCUCCCUCCCUCCGGGGAGGAUCGGGGUGAGGACUCCCGGGGGGAGAGGCCGACAGGCGCUGCCCGCAGCCAGGGAAGCCAGCGAAGCGCCGGAAAGGACCGAGGGCUGAAAACCCCUUGAAACGAGCCCAGCCCCUCCUCCGGUCGUUUGAGAAAGGCCUCUUUGAUUCGCCCCCGCCGCUUGGACUGAAGCCCUGAACCGCUAUUUCCUGAUUCAACACCACCCUGGUUUGCAAGCUCCGAGGUCCAAGUGGUGGUGGCAACCCCUGAAAUCCAGUAUCCAUAUUCCUCAUCUGAAAGGUGCCUGCAGAGCCGGACCGGGAAAGAGGGCGGUGGGCAGAUGAAAUCUGAGCCUCAGAACCUGAAGAAGGAAUGGGAGCGAAGGUGAAGUCGAGUUGUUACCCAAGAAAAAGAAGGCAUUCAGGUUUUGACAUUGAAAACAGGAUCUUUGUAACAGCUUUAUUCAGAUGUAAUUCACAUACCCUAUAAUGUACCCAUUAAAGUGUAC